rnacentral:rRNA from 1 species
UAGGGAAUAUUAGUAAUGGAGGAAACUCUGAACUAGCGAUACCGCGUGCGCGAAGAAGGCCUUCGGGUUGUAAAGCGCUUUUUGAGAGGAUGAGGAAGGACGGUACUCUCAGAAUAAGUAUCGGCUAACUACGUGCCAGCAGCCGCGGUAACACGUAGGAGGCAAACGUUAUCCGGGAUUUACUGGGCGUAAAGCGCGUGUAGGUGGUAUAGUAAGUAGGGCGUGAAAGCUCCUGGCUCAACUGGGAGAGGCCGUUCAAACUGCUAUACUCGAGUUUGGUAGAGGAAGAUGGAAUUCCAGGUGUAGCGGUAAAAUGCGCAGAUAUCUGGAGGAACACCAGUGGCGAAAGCGGUCUUCUGGACCAAUACUGACACUCAGACGCGAAAGCUAGGGUAGCAA